rnacentral:tRNA from 1 species
GGCGAGGUGGCCGAGCGGUCUAAGGCGCUAGUUUCAGGCACUACCCGAGUUAACUCAGGUGAAGCUACUAGUCCGAAAGGGCGUGAGUUCAAAUCUCACCCUCGUCA